rnacentral:rRNA from 1 species
GGGGAAUUUUCCGCAAUGGGCGAAAGCCUGACGGAGCAACGCCGCGUGAGGGACGAAGGCCUCUGGGCUGUAAACCUCUUUCACCAAGGAAGAAGAUAUGACGGUACGUGAUGAAUAAGCCACGGCUAAAUCCGCGCCAGCAGCCGCGGUAAUACGGGAGAGGCAAGCGAUAUCCCGAUUGAUAGGGCGUAAAGAGUCCGCAGGCGGCCCCGAAAGUCCGUGGGGAAAGCGCGG